rnacentral:snRNA from 1 species
GAAGUAAUGUAAAAAUUAUA